rnacentral:misc_RNA from 1 species
AAACAGUCUCCCUCUUCUGAAUCUCGCUGAGGAAACUGCACGUCACCCUCCUGAAA